AUUGAACGCUGGCGGCAGGCUUAACACAUGCAAGUCGAGCGGAGAUGAGGUGCUUGCACCUUAUCUUAGCGGCGGACGGGUGAGUAAUGCUUAGGAAUCUGCCUAUUAGUGGGGGACAACAUUCCGAAAGGAAUGCUAAUACCGCAUACGCCCUACGGGGGAAAGCAGGGGAUCUUCGGACCUUGCGCUAAUAGAUGAGCCUAAGUCGGAUUAGCUAGUUGGUGGGGUAAAGGCCUACCAAGGCGACGAUCUGUAGCGGGUCUGAGAGGAUGAUCCGCCACACUGGGACUGAGACACGGCCCAGACUCCUACGGGAGGCAGCAGUGGGGAAUAUUGGACAAUGGGCGGAAGCCUGAUCCAGCCAUGCCGCGUGUGUGAAGAAGGCCUUUUGGUUGUAAAGCACUUUAAGCGAGGAGGAGGCUACCUGGAUUAAUACUCUAGGAUAGUGGACGUUACUCGCAGAAUAAGCACCGGCUAACUCUGUGCCAGCAGCCGCAGUAAUAC
rnacentral:rRNA from 1 species